rnacentral:rRNA from 1 species
AUACGGAGGGGGCUAGCGUUGUUCGGAAUUACUGGGCGUAAAGCGCACGUAGGCGGAUUAAAAAGUUAGAGGUGAAAUCCCAGGGCUUAACCCUGGGACUGCCUUUAAAACUAGUAGUCUAGAGUUCGAGAGAGGUGAGUGGAAUUCCAAGUGUAGAGGUGAAAUUCGUAGAUAUUUGGAGGAACACCAGUGGCGAAGGCGGCUCAUUGGCUCGAUACUGACGCUGAGGUGCGAAAGCGUGGGGAGCAAACAGGAUUAGAAACCCUAGUAGUCC